CCCUUAGAUGUUCUGGGCUGCACGCGCGCUACACUGAAGCUAACAACACGUUUUCCCUCCCUGAGAAGGGCGGGUAACCUUUUGAAUCAGCUUCGUGGUAGGGAUCGGGGCUUGCAAUUGUUCCCCGUGAACCAGGAAUUCCUAGUAGACGCGAGUCAUAAGCUCGCAUCGAUUAAGUCCCUGCCCUUUGUACACACCGCCCGUCGCUACUACCGAUUGAACGUUUUAGUGAGGCAUUUGGACCGACGCAUCUCAGUUUAACCGCUGGUUUGUGUUGGAAAGACUUCCAAACUUGAGCGUUUAGAGGAAGUAAAAGUCGUAACA
rnacentral:rRNA from 1 species